GUGAAUACUAAAAGAUGUAAGGUUAAUAAUGAUAGUCCCACAUACUUGUGGCACUGCCACCUUGGUCACAUUGGUGUCAAACGCAUGAAGAAACUCCAUGCAGAUGGACUUUUGGAGUCUCUUGAUUAUGAAUCAUUUGACACAUCCGAACCAUGCCUCAUGGGCAAGAUGACCAAGACUCCGUUCUCUGGAACAACGGAGCGAGCAACCAACUUGUUGGAAAUAAUACAUACUGAUGUGUGUGGUCCAAUGAGCGUUGAGGCUCACGGUGGCUAUCGUUAUGUUCUCACCCUCUCUAAUGACUUAAGUAGAUAUGGGUAUGUCUAUUUAAUGAAACACAAGUCUGAG
rnacentral:rRNA from 1 species